rnacentral:lncRNA from 1 species
GGUCGAUAAAGACAGGAGUGGAGUGAUAUCAGACACCGAGCUUCAGCAAGCUCUCUCCAACGGCACGUGGACUCCCUUUAAUCCAGUGACUGUCAGGUCGAUCAUAUGUCCUGAGGCACGUGAAUGGCCAGGAUCAGAUUGUGCCCGGCCUGUACGCCUGUGGGGAGGCCGCCUGUGCCUCGGUACAUGGUGCCAAUCGGCUCGGGGCAAACUCGCUCUUGGACUUGGUUGUCUUUGGUCAGGCAUGUGCCCUGAGCAUCGAAGAGUCAUGCAGGCCUGGAGAUAAAGUCCCUCCAAUUAAACCAAACGCUGGGGAAGAAUCUGUCAUGAAUCUUGACAAAUUGAGAUUUGCUGAUGGAAGCAUAAGAACAUGAGAACUGCGACUCAGCAUGCAGAAGUGCCGCUGGGUUAGGGUCUCCACAACCGAGCUGGUCUCAGCAAGUGGCGCCCACACAUGGGGGCUCGAAUCCAGGUCGAAGGGUCACCGGAGCGACAGAAAACUUGGAACUAAGCUGGAGGACACCGAGUACUCUUAUGCAGUCCCCAUGGACUGAACCAUCAAGACACCUGAAACCUUAUCAUGAGCGAAUGCUGAGGAAGAGAUUCCGGGAGGAUCCCGAGGACCCCCCCAGUUGCAGCCAUGUCAAGACUGAUGCUGAGGAGGACCCCAACUGUCACGAGCAACACCCGUCAAACACAGCCAUCCACCUGAGGUCAGAUCAAGAAGCUGUCACAGAUGGCAGAAGAAAACCUGAGGUAAGUGGGACAACCAGUCAAAAUGAGUAAUUUAAUGGUAGCUAUGAUAGUGGUGAUCACCAUUGCCAUGAGUAUUCCUUCAACAAGGGCUGACACAGAGAACAAUUAUACUUACUGGGCAUAUUUAUCAAUCUUGGCUGGCAAGAAUGCCUGGAUGUAAUCACUCUAUGACACAGUUACACAUGCUUUCUGAUCUCAGUAUUUACCAUGAUAAAUCUGCUCCUAUAAUUGAGGCAUACCGCCCUCAAAAACCUAUCUGUAAACAGGAUUGGACCCAGUCAGAGAAAAUGAACGUACAUGUUUGGGAAGAUUGCAUUGCAGAACAGGCAGGGGUGCUGGCAACGAUUCCUAUGGAAUCAUUAUUGAUUGAUCCCCUACGGGGAUGUUUAGCUUGAAUUGCACCUCUCAGUCUGUGUGCCACGGCCCCACUAUGUUCAGCUGGUCUGAACAAAAUGGUCAGAUGGUAGAAAUGAUAAGAAAUACGGCAAGAAUUCCUAUUAUCUGGAACCAUGGCGGUGUAGUGGCACCUCAACCUCAAAUGAUAUGGCCCUUUGUAGGAGCUAAACAUAAGGAUUUGUGGAAACUGUUAAUAGCUCUUAAUAAGAUCAAAAUUUGGGAAAGAAUAAAAAAGCAUCGAGAAGGACACUCUACAAACUUGUCUUUGGAUAUUGCAAAAUUGAAAGAACAGAUAUUUGAAGCAUCCCGGCACACCUGACCUUAAUGCCAGGAACUGGAGUGCUUGAAGGAGCUGCAGACAGAUUAGCAGCUGGUAACC